rnacentral:lncRNA from 1 species
UGGGACUAUGCCAGUUUAUAACCAAAUGACCUCAUCUAGUCUGAAGGGGUCCAGAAGGCUUACCUGAGGAAGUAUUGUCUCAGCUGAGACAGAGAGGAAUGGAUUCCAGGGACCUGGCAGGCAAAGAGGAAAGGGGGCCUGGCUAGGGACUGUGGCUGUGGGGAACAUGUGGAGUGCCAACCAGCAGUUUGGCUGAAGUGUGCCUCCAGCUCACGGCUGUCUUGCAAGAAUGCAAGAAUGAGGGUCUGUGUGGCCAAUUUCUGGCUUCUCAAAAGGAACCAGAAGUCUGGGUUUUUAUGUGAGAUCUCUCAAGCGUAGCCAGCGGGCACCCAGUGGUGAGGCAGGAGGGGAACAAG